rnacentral:rRNA from 1 species
UACGGAGGGGGCUAGCGUUGUUCGGAAUCACUGGGCGUAAAGGGCGCGUAGGCGGCUUCAGAUGUCGGAUGUGAAAGCCCGGGGCUCAACCCCGGAGGUGCAUCCGAAACUCUGGGGCUGGAGGCCGGAAGAGGAGGGUGGAAUACCCAGUGUAGAGGUGAAAUUCGUAGAUAUUGGGUGGAACACCGGUGGCGAAAGCGGCUCUCUGGUCCGGUCCUGACGCUGAGGCGCGAAAGCGUGGGGAGCAAACAGG